rnacentral:rRNA from 1 species
AUUGAACGCUGGCGGCAGGCCUAACACAUGCAAGUCGAACGAGUGGCGGACGGGUGCGUAAUGUCUGGGAAACUGCCUGAUGGGGGGGGAUAACUACUGGAAACGGUCGCUAAUCCCGCAUACCAUCAGAUGUGCCCAGAUGGGAUUAGCUAGUUGGUGGGGUAACGGCUCACCAAGGCGACGAUCCCUAGCUGGUCUGAGAGGAUGACCCGCCACCCUGGAACGGAGACACGGGCCAGACGCCUACGGGAGGCAGCAGUGGGGAUUAUUGCACAAUGGGCGCAAGCCUGAUGAAGCCAUGCCGAGUGUAGGAAGAAGGCCUUCGGGUUGUAAAGUACUUUCAGCGGGGAGGCGUUACCCGCAGAAGAAGCACCGGCUAACUCCGUGCCAGCAGCCGCGGUAAUAC